rnacentral:rRNA from 1 species
GACGAACGCUGGCGGCGUGCUUAACACAUGCAAGUCGAACGGAAAGGCCCUGCUUUUGUGGGGUGCUCGAGUGGCGAACGGGCGAGUAACACGUGAGUAACCUGCCCUUGACUUUGGGAUAACUUCAGGAAACUGGGGCGAAUACCGGAUAGGAGCUCCUGCUGCAUGGUGGGGGUUGGAAAGUGUCGGCGGUUGGGGAGGGACUCGCGGCUUAUCAGCUUGGUGGUGGGGUAGUGGCUUACCAAGGCUUUGACGGGUAGCCGGCCUGAGAGGGUGACCGGCCACAUUGGGACUGAGAUACGGCCCAGACUCCUACGGGAGGCAGCAGUGGGGAAUAUUGCACAAUGGGCGGAAGCCUGAUGCAGCAACGCCGCGUGCGGGAUGACGGCCUUCGGGUUGUAAACCGCUUUCGCCUGUGACGAAGCGUGAGUGACGGUAAUGGGUAAAGAAGCACCGGCUAACUACGUG